rnacentral:ncRNA from 1 species
CAUAUGGAGGAAAUGCCAUAACAAAGGAGGUAUCCUUUGGGCCUGAUUGAUGAUUAUUUCCCUGAUUAUCAAUUUUGCUGCGGUGCGGCUCAUACUCCUCAAU